AGGUGAAGAGCUUCUUUCAGACUCCUUCCCCUACAAGGAACUAUUGAAUGGGUUCCUAUGAGAAGUUGAAGAAAAGUUAUGGAUCAUGAAAACAACGCUCCUUCGUUGUUAAAGUUGAUUGGGGACUAUGAUCCUAUAUUUUUGGUGUUUAUUUUGGAUGGUCCGGAGUUUUUGGCUGCAACUAUGUUGGACAGAGAUAUGCUUGCUAUUGCUGUAAAUUGGUACCAUGUCGGUUGGUUUUGCU